rnacentral:rRNA from 1 species
UACAGAGGUGGCAAGCGUUGUUCGGAAUCACUGGGCUUAAAGCGUGUGUAGGCGGCGGCCUAAGUACCUUGUGAAAUCCCACGGCUCACCCGUGGAACUGCUCGGUAUACUGGGUCGCUUGAGCCACUUAGGGGCUACCGGAACAAAUGGUGGAGCGGUGAAAUGCGUAGAUAUCAUUUGGAACGCCAAUGGUGAAAACAGGUAGCUGGGAGUGUGCUGACGCUGAGACACGAAAGCCAGGGGAGCAAACGGG